rnacentral:rRNA from 1 species
GAUGAACGCUGGCGGCGUGCCUAAUACAUGCAAGUCGAGCGAACGGACGAGAAGCUUGCUUCUCUGAUGUUAGCGGCGGACGGGUGAGUAACACGUGGAUAACCUACCUAUAAGACUGGGAUAACUUCGGGAAACCGGAGCUAAUACCGGAUAAUAUUUUGAACCGCAUGGUUCAAAAGUGAAAGACGGUCUUGCUGUCACUUAUAGAUGGAUCCGCGCUGCAUUAGCUAGUUGGUAAGGUAACGGCUUACCAAGGCAACGAUGCAUAGCCGACCUGAGAGGGUGAUCGGCCACACUGGAACCGAGACACGGUCCAGACUCCUACGGGAGGCAGCAGUAGGGAAUCUUCCGCAAUGGGCGAAAGCCUGACGGAGCAACGCCGCGUGAGUGAUGAAGGUCUUCGGAUCGUAAAACUCUGUUAUUAGGGAAGAACAUAUGUGGAAGUAACUGUGCACAUCUUGACGGUACCUAAUCAGAAAGCCACGGCUAACUACGUG